AGAGUUUGAUCCUGGCUCAGGACGAACGCUGGCGGCGUGCUUAAGACAUGCAAGUCGUACGAGAAAGUCUCUUCGGAGAUGAGUAAAGUGGCGCACGGGUGAGUAACGCGUGGGUAAUCUGCCCUUAGGUUUGGGAUAACCCCGGGAAACCGGAGCUAAUACCGAAUGAGACCACGAUGACUUCGGUCGAUGUGGGAAAAGGUGGCCUCUUCUUGAAAGCUAUCGCCAAAGGAUGAGCCCGCGUUUGAUUAGCUAGUUGGUGAGGUAAUGGCUCACCAAGGCGACGAUCAAUAGCUGGUCUGAGAGGAUGAUCAGCCACACUGGAACUGAGAUACGGUCCAGACUCCUACGGGAGGCAGCAGUCAGGAAUAUUGGGCAAUGGGCGAAAGCCUGACCCAGCAACGCCGCGUGAAGGAUGAAGGCCUUCGGGUCGUAAACUUCUGUCGAGAGGGAAGAAUGCGUACGGGUGAACAAUCCGUGCGUUUGACGGUACCUCCAAAGGAAGCACCGGCUAACUCCGUGCCAGCAGCCGCGGUAAUACGGAGGGUGCAAGCGUUGUUCGGAUUCAUUGGGCGUAAAGCGAGUGUAGGCGGUUUGACAAGUCGGAUGUGAAAUCCCGGGGCCCAACCCCGGAACUGCAUCCGAUACUGUCUAGCUAGAGUCCCGGAGAGGGUGGCGGAAUUCCCGGUGUAGGGGUGAAAUCCGUAGAUAUCGGGAGGAACACCAGUGGCGAAGGCGGCCACCUGGACGGUGACUGACGCUGAGACUCGAAAGCGUGGGUAGCAAACAGGAUUAGAUACCCUGGUAGUCCACGCUGUAAACGGUGAGUGCUCGUCGUCGUGGGUAUUGACCCCUGCGGUGACCAAGUUAACACAUGAAGCACUCCGCCUGGGAAGUACGGUCGCAAGACUAAAACUCAAAGGAAUUGACGG
rnacentral:rRNA from 1 species